rnacentral:rRNA from 1 species
AUUGAACGCUGGCGGCAGGCCUAACACAUGCAAGUCGAGCGGGGUUUUCGGACCUAGCGGCGGACGGGUGAGUAAUGCGUAGGAAGCUACCCGAUAGAGGGGGAUACCAGUUGGAAACGACUGUUAAUACCGCAUAAUGUCUACGGACCAAAGUGUGGGACCUUCGGGCCACAUGCUAUCGGAUGCGCCUACGUGGGAUUAGCUAGUUGGUGAGGUAAUGGCUCACCAAGGCGAAGAUCCCUAGCUGGUUUGAGAGGAUGAUCAGCCACACUGGAACGGAGACACGGUCCAGCCUCCUACGGGAGGCAGCAGUGGGGAAUAUUGGACAGUGGGCGCAAGCCUGAUCCAGCCAUGCCGCGUGUGUGAAGAAGGCCUUCGGGUUGUACAGCACUUUCAGUAGGGAGGAAGCGUUGUGUGUUAAUAGUACACAGCGUUGACGUUACCUACAGAAGAAGCACCGGCCAACUCUGUGCCAGCCGCCGCAGUAAGAC